rnacentral:rRNA from 1 species
UACGUAGGGUGCAAGCGUUGUCCGGAAUUAUUGGGCGUAAAGAGCUCGUAGGCGGUCUGUCGCGUCUGCUGUGAAAACUCAGGGCUUAACCCCUGAGCUUGCAGUGGGUACGGGCAGACUAGAGUGCGGUAGGGGAGACUGGAAAUUCCUGGUGUAGCGGUGAAAUGCGCAGAUAUCAGGAGGAACACCGGUGGCGAAGGCGGGUCUCUGGGCCGUAACUGACG